rnacentral:rRNA from 1 species
UUUGUAGGUUGUUUGUUAAGUAGGGUAUGAAAGACCGGAGCUCAACUCCGUGUUUGUAUUCUAAACUGGCUAACUAGAGUUAGGGAGAGGUAAGCGGAAUUUUAAGUGUAGGGGUGCAAUCCGUAGAUACUUAGAAGAACACCAAAAGCGAAGGCAGCUUACUGGAACUAUACUGACGCUGAAAAACGAAAGCGUGGGGAGCGAAAA